rnacentral:tRNA from 3 species
GGGCCGCUAGCUCAGUUGGUAGAGCAACGGACUUUUAAUCCGUAGGUCCCAGGUUCGAGUCCUGGGCGGCUCACCA